rnacentral:rRNA from 1 species
CCUACGGGCGGCAGCAGUGGGGAAUAUUGCACAAUGGGCGCAAGCCUGAUGCAGCCAUGCCGCGUGUGUGAAGAAGGCCUUCGGGUUGUAAAGCACUUUCAGCGGGGAGGAAGGCGGUGAGGUUAAUAACCUCAUCGAUUGACGUUACCCGCAGAAGAAGCACCGGCUAACUCCGUGCCAGCAGCCGCGGUAAUACGGAGGGUGCAAGCGUUAAUCGGAAUUACUGGGCGUAAAGCGCACGCAGGCGGUCUGUCAAGUCGGAUGUGAAAUCCCCGGGCUCAACCUGGGAACUGCAUUCGAAACUGGCAGGCUAGAGUCUUGUAGAGGGGGGUAGAAUUCCAGGUGUAGCGGUGAAAUGCGUAGAGAGCUGGAGGAAUACCGGUGGCGAAGGCGGCCCCCUGGACAAAGACUGACGCUCAGGUGCGAAAGCGUGGGGAGCAAACAGGAUUAGAUACCCGUGUAGUC